GGGAGCAGCCCUUUCUCAGCCUCUAAAAAUAGUGACAAAAGGAAGAAAGCAGCAAUGGCUGCAAAGAUGGCACGGGGAAGGAAGGGGGCGUUAGCAGAGGCACAGCAAUCAUUGAAGUGCCACUUCUCUGGCAUUCAAAGGUCGGUGAGAAAGGAAGGGGGGCUGAGGAGCUGCUCCAGCCUGGAAGUCAUCAGAAGAGUCAAGCGCGGCUGCAUCAAAAAUCAAAUCGAAGCUCAGCUGCUUCCCUAACGACCCGCAUCGGAGGAUGGGAUGCCAAUCUAGCCAUCAAGCUGUUUCAGGCGUCACAGCAAGGGUUUUACCUGACACCCAAUCAUCCUGUCUUAUUGCACAGACCAUCCAGUUUAUUCUCCACAUCACUACCAAGGUACUCACACCCCUGAUGCUUGCAGAGGCUUCUCCUGAACACAGAAUCCACAGACUAUGUCUGCCAACCCUUCUGCAUGCAUUCAUGCAAAAUUGAACAUCAACCAACUGGAAUUCUCUCCCACCUCCCAAUGUCACGAAAGUGUUGGAAAGCAGAAUUUGAACCAUUCUUCAAUA